rnacentral:rRNA from 1 species
ACUGGCGGCCAUAGCGAGGGGGCAACACCCGUACCCAUUCCGAACACGGAAGUAAAGUCCCUCAGCGAUCGCAUCAGUACUGCCUUUUCGGCGGAAGCGUGCGGACGCUGCCAGAC